GUCCCUCGCUUUAAUGGCGUUAAAGUAUGAUCUGAGGGAGAUGUAGCUGCUAUUUCCAGCGCGUAAAAUAACCACGUAGAGGCUCCCCAGCUGACUUGCGUUUUGGGAAUGAUUACAGAAAUUGUAGCGAUAAGUUUCUAGCUAUUCACUUCCGUAACCUAAUUUAAAAUUCAUAAAUCGCUAUUUCACUUUUCGUUUCUGCUGCUCCAACGUGCGUGGACGUGACAACACUCAUGUUUCAUAUCUUAUAAAUCUAUGACUGCCAACUUAUAUAAGAAACUAAUGAUGUAGUAACAUUAAAUGCACUUAUUUAUUUUGACGAUUUUAACUUUAACUUAGCAACAUGGAGACUAGAACAUAAAUACAACGGACUGUGACGUCUUAAAAUUGUCAGGCGAAGAUAAAAGCUUUCAAGCAGCAUGUAGCCAUGUAUUUCACUUGGAACAGUAGUAACAGAGAAUGACAAAGAAAAAAAGCGAAGGAAAAAAGUUGAAGAACAUUUAAACGUUUUCAGUGAAGAAACUUUUGGUCGUGUUUAUGUUGUCACACCAAAGGCAGGAGAACUGUUAUUUAAGAAUUUUAUUGCAUGAAGUUCGAAAUAUGAUAAUAUUUUUACCUUUCACGCCGCGCAUCGACAUUUUCAACUUGGAGUGGUUGUGACCCAACGGAUCAAGACCUACGUUGGCCACAAGACCAGCUGUUAUGUGAGGUUCCAAUGUAAGAAAGUUAAUGAGAAAUCACACAAGUAUCCACCUGGAUAGGAUACAAGUAAAUUACUUUUAACUUGUCAUCAGUCAGAUUAGAUUUCCUGUAAGAAGAAGAAGAAGAAGAAGAAGAAGAAAUGAUGUGUUUUAAGCAAUAAAAGUUCUAGAAAAUUUCUGUUGAGUCGGGAAAUCUCUUAUUUGAUUGGCCUAUCGCUUCAAUCUGUAUUUGUCUUACCUCAAUAAUAAUUAUAUAUUCCCCAGUGUUCCGUUCUAGGCUCCUCACUCCUCCUCCUAUACAUCACUGACCAGGUUGAUGUCACAACCAACAACACUUACUCUUACACAGGUUCUAUAUGUGACUGUUUAAUCAUGCCACGUACAAAAGAAGCCUUGGAAUUGUUUCAAUUUCACAGAAAACCUUGGGAUCCCACUUUCUAAAGUUAAUAGAAUGAUUGUACAAUUCACCAGAGAGGAGAAGGAGUACACCUCAUCUCACUUAGGUCAACCAGGGUCCUCUGACAGAACCCUUCACUUUCUUAAGAGAAGUGUGGAAGAUAAUCCUUAUUGCAAGACCUCUGACAUAGCAGAACAAGUUGAUAUCAGUCCCAGAACAGCAGUCAAGUAUCUCCACAAACUUGGCUACUAUGGCAGAGCAGAAGGAAGGAAGGCACUUCGUCGAUCGGUGUCAUGUGGAGAAAAGAUAUGGCCAGUGAGAAGGUGGAGAAACCACUAGAAUUUUGAGACACUGUCAUAUUCUCUCAUGAGUUCAGAUAUGCUGUAGUUUCUGACAGUGGUCGAGUGUGGGUCUGGAGAUUUUGUGAUCAAGAAUUUGACGUGAAAAGAUUGCAGUCAACAAUGAAACACGGUGGCUAUUCUGUGAUGGCCUGGGGAGCAAUUUGGAGCAAUGAUCGAUCAGAACUGGUGGAUUGUGAGAGAAACAUAAACUCAGAUAAAUAUGUGUCCAGUGGUGAAAUGAUUAAAGACUCUUUAUGGAAGAUCGAACUCCUUAUCACACAGCUAAAAAGACCCAAGAUUGGUUGGAAGAGAAUGGCAUUAAAAAGCUUCCAUUGCCAAGCCAGUCACCAGAUAUAAACCCUAUUGAACAACUCUAGGGCAUAAUGGACAGCGCACUUUGUAAAAAGAAAAAGAAAGCAACCGCAAUACCAGAUCUUUUGGGAUUACUGUAUGAAAUUUGACAAGAAAUACUUCAAGAGAAUAUUCGUCGUCUAAUCAGUAGCAUGCCUAAUAAGGUCCUUGCAUUGAAAAAUGCAAAGGGCAU